rnacentral:rRNA from 1 species
CACGUAGGGUGCGAGCGUUGUCCGGAAUUAUUGGGCGUAAAGAGCUCGUAGGCGGUCUGUCGCGUCGAUCGUGAAAACUUGGGGCUUAACCCUGAGCUUGCGGUCGAUACGGGCAUGACUGGAGCUCGGCAGGGGAGACUGGAAUUCCUGGUGUAGCGGUGAAAUGCGCAGAUAUCAGGAAGAACACCCGUGGCUAAGGCGGCUCUCUAGUACGGUACUGACGCUGAGACGCGAAAGCGUGGGGAGCGAACAGG